AAAAAAGAGUCAAAAGACUGGGUCUCAAUGCUAAAUUCCAGCUCUAUACAGUCCAGUUCAUCAUCACAUGACCUGUCGGAAUGAUACCACUUUAGGCUCAUAGAUCCCCCUUGGACUCCACGUCUCAAAGAAUGACACUUCAAGAGGGGCUUUAAAAGCAGCACACCAAGUCUAUGGGAGGCUACAACAGUAGCUUUGUGUUUGAGCCCUCCCACCUGCCCUGGGCACUGUUUCUUGGUGUACUGAUCUGUUUCCUUCCCUGUGAUAAACAUAAUCAGGAGUGUGACAGCUUUUCUGGAGCACUACGAGUCCAUCCAACAAACUUCCCUUCAACCAGAGGGGUUGGGAGCCCUUCAACUUCCACCUAGUUUUACAGGUCCUGGGAAUUGUUCCCUCACAUCUAUGAACUAACACUGGGCACAGAUCAAUAAAAGAAAAAGAUUAAUUCCUUUUGCUGUUUGUAACCACAACUACAUUUCUUUAAAUAAAAAAAAAAAAAAGGAAAAAUAUUUACCAAAAAAACAAAACCCACUAUGGAAAGGUUUUAAUAAUCCUGAGGAAAAGAGUUUUGGAGUAGAGGGUUUGAAAGUCUGGAGUUGACCUAGCUGAGUGAAAAGUUAUGCUACUACUUAAGAAAAUGGUCUGGCAGAGCCCUUCAAAUGCUGUUGCAGAGUGGCUUGAGGGCCAGCGAUGAGAGAGCCAAAGCAUGCACACUCAAAAGCUUAUAUGUGAAAGUACAUAGAUUUGGGAUUUAAUACCUUACUGUGACACAAUAGCACAGGUUGUUCUUUGUUACGAUUAUAAUACAAUAUGGAUAGCCAGCUAUAUUGAGAAAUAGAGUUUAAAAUCUCUGGCUACCCAGUGAACCCUCCAAGUGUUGGAGGUUUGUUUUGCUCAAAUGAGCUUUGGCCAAAGGCUAGAUGUUAGCUUUAUAUCAUCCUAAUCCAGAAAGUAAGUUCUUUCUUUGCUUUGGGGAGGUUUAAUAGGAAUGGCUUUGUUUAAAGGAGGCUGGCCAUACAUGACCUUACCAAAAAUGUAUUCAGUGAGUGUGAUGGUGAACGCCAAGACAUACUAGUAGAGGUCAGAGGACAACCUACCUUGUGGGGCCAGAGGGAUCUAGCACAGGACUUAAAGCUUUCUAGCAAAAGACCUUCCUUCCUUUUGGAUCCAGUAGCUUUUUUUUUCUUUUGUUAUUGUUUUGAUCAAAAAGUGAUGAGUGAAAAAAUAAUCUAGCCUACACUAGGAUAUUAUCAACAAUAAAAAGAAAUUAAAUACUGAUAGGUACAGUAUGGAAGAAUCUUAGUAUGCUAAGUCAAAGAAGCUAGGCACUGCAGAGGGCAUAUUAUUAGAACUCCACUUGUAUGAAUAGACAAGUCCAGAGAGCUUUGUGAUUGCCUAUAACUGCACCAUUUAAGAGAAAAUGAGCUGGGCGUUGUGGUGCACGCGUUUAAUCCCAGCACUCGGGAGGCAGAGGCAGGUGGAUUUCUGAGUUCGUGGCCAGCCUGGUCUACAAAGUGAGUUCCAGGACAGCCAGGGCUAUACAGAGAGAGAGAGAGAGAAACUGAACUGUGACUGUUAAUGACUAUAGGGUUGCUGUGUAGGGCGACAAAAGACUGUGGCGAUAGUUUAGACACUAAACUAAAACUAUUUUAAGUCGGUGGACCAGAUGUUGGAAUUAAAUCUCUACAACGGUGGCUCCCCGCGCCUCCGCGUUUGCAUCUGCUUUGGUUACAGGAUGUAUGUACAGUUUUCAGCGAAAUUCAAUUAUCAGAAAUCCAAGUCAACGCUCAAAGCGAAAGGGAGCGGUGACCAUUUUCUGAGUGAGCCAUAAAUACACGAACUGGAAUCUGUGAUUUCAAAGAAGAAUACCAGGACUUAGGCACAGAACAAAAUCCGUGGAUCCAAAAGCCACCGUUUGCAAGCCUCCCACGACGUUGGCGGGCGGGCCAACGGGGAGGCCAAGUACCCGGAGCCUACGCACGCACAGCCUGCGCAGCCGCAGCCUGAAGCUGAAGGGGGCGCGGGCCCAGGAGCUAGUCCGACAGCGGAGACCGCCCCGCCCAGGCUCCUCCUCUUCCCUUCGCCGCCGUCCCGCCCUCGCUCGCAAACCCAAACACUCCCGGCUGCUGGUGCAUGUGAUCUCCCAGUAGUCGCUCGGCAGAGAUGUUGCUGUUGGCCGCUGCCGGCCUCGUGGCCUUCGUGCUGCUCCUCUACAUGGUGUCGCCGCUCAUCAGUCCCAAGCCCCUCGCGCUGCCCGGCGCGCACGUAGUGGUCACAGGAGGCUCCAGUGGCAUUGGGAAGUGCAUUGCUAUUGAGUGCUACAAACAAGGAGCAUUUAUAACUCUGGUUGCACGAAAUGAGGACAAGCUACUGCAGGCGAAGAAAGACAUUGAAAAGCACUCUAUUAAUGACAAACAGGUGGUGCUGUGUAUCUCAGUUGAUGUGUCUCAAGACUAUAACCAAGUGGAGAAUGUCAUAAAGCAGGCACAAGAGAAGCUGGGUCCUGUGGACAUGCUGGUCAACUGUGCAGGCACCUCUAUGUCAGGAAAGUUUGAAGAGCUUGAAGUUAGUAGUUUUGAGAAAUUAAUGAGCAUAAAUUACCUGGGCAGCGUGUACCCCAGCAGGGCAGUAAUCACUACCAUGAAGGAGCGACGGGUGGGCAGGAUCGUGUUUGUGUCCUCUCAGGCAGGACAGCUGGGACUGUUUGGUUUCACGGCCUACUCUUCAUCCAAGUUUGCCAUAAGAGGAUUGGCAGAAGCUCUGCAGAUGGAGGUGAAGCCGUACAAUGUGUACGUCACUGUGGCCUACCCACCAGACACCGACACGCCGGGGCUGGCUGAGGAAAACAAAACGAAGCCCCUGGAGACCCGGCUUAUCUCAGAGACCACAGCUAUUUGCAAACCAGAGCAGGUGGCCAAACAAAUUGUCAAAGAUGCCAUAUACCGUUCCCCAGCUGAAGAGUUCUGAAUCCACGCCGGAUCCUUCUCAACAGUCUGUUUUACGGGAACUUUUAUUAACCACUCCUUCCCCGUGAUGCAGUUCUGAAUCCUCCCUGUAGCAGGGGGUCUUCACUCAUGCCUGAAGAUGUUUCUUGUCCCGGGUUUCGGCACCAACUUGUUGCGCGCGCUCAACUGGCCAGGAAGAACGACGCUGCUACAGGAUCCUUCUGCACACGUUUAUUCAGUCCUGUUUCUUCUUUCUCUAUAUUUCCCUUGUUUAUAUCUCCCUUGUUUAUAUCUCUCCCUUGUUUAUAUCUCUCCCUUGUUUUUAUAUCUCCCUUGUUUAUAUCUCCCUUGUUUUUAUAUCUCCCCCGAACCCUGGGCCUCUCACUCUUUUAUACUCUCAGUUCCCAUCCACGCACAGCAGGCCACGCCACCUCACCAGGCACGCAGCUUCAGCUAAUCAGGGCAGCAGGGGCAAAUCUCCACCAAAUUGGAUUCACCUGUAUCCUGGUACACCUGCGCAGCACUCAAGAUGUUUGUGGCUUAUAUGAGGAAGUCAGGUGCAAGUCAUAUGACUUAGCUGCAGUCUCUGGCGCCUUUGGGACUGCCGCCACACCCGCUCCCCACACAAGUAAAUAAAUAUACAUUUAAAAAAAAGAACAGGUCUGCAGAGGUGGCUUGGUAAGUUCUACAAGCACAGGACCCCACUUCAGAAGCCACAUGAGCCUCCACUCCCACCCCUUUCUGGCCUUCUUGGACACGGUACCAUUACAUACAUGGUGCACAUGCAUACACGCAGGCACCCACACAUACAUAUGUUUUAAUUUUAAAUCUUAAAACAACAACAAAAGGACUGAGUUCCUAGCAGUAACAUAAAAGCCAGUAAGCCAGUAUGGUUGUUCCUGUCUGUAACCCAAGUCCUGUGUGGACAGACCGGCAGAUCCCCAGAUCUUGUGAGCCAGCCAACCCAUCCAGUCUGUGAGCCUAGCCAGGGUCAUUUUGAGACCCGUUCACAAAAGAUAAGGUGUAGAGUGAUUGAGGUAGAUACCCAACAUUGACCUGUGAUUCCCCACACAUGUGCCCACAGACAUGUAGUUUGCCCUGGUUGCCUUUAGAGACUUGGAGCAGUGGCACAGAGGCAUGAAAGGCUAAUUUGCUUUUCCCUCAAGUCAGAACAAGCACCCUCAAGGUGCUGCUGCUGCUGCUGCUGCUGCUGCUGCAUUGUCUUAAGAUGCUGGUACUUGCCAUGCGUGUGCAUGGUGUUGGGUUCCAUCACCAGCAGAAGAAGAUGGGGAAGAGAUUUAGCUAGGAGAUAAAGUCAUUUGAAAUCAAAGAAAUUGAGACUGGGGAAUUGCCACAGUGAUUAAAAGCACUUGUUCUUGUAAAAGGCUCUAGAUUCAUUUCCCACCACCACAUGGAGGCUCAGCAGUUCCUCAAGUGUCAUGUUGUACCCAGACAUGCAUGCCGUCAACACACACUCACACACACACACACACACACAGAGAGAGAGAGAGAGAGAAUAAAACUUAACUAUAUUAUUAACUCCAUUUUUAAAUAGCUUUAUUUGUUCUUUUAAUGUAUCUUUGUGCCUGAGUGUAUGUAUGUAUGUGCAAUGCCUGCAGAGGCCAGGAGAACACCACAUCCCUUGGACUGGAUGUAUAGGCAUUGUCCCCUCUCUUUAUGGUUUCUUUUUAAGUGUGUGUGUGUGUGUGUGUGUGUGUGUGUGUGUGUAACACUCAGAAGACAGAUUUGAGGAGUCAUUAUUUCCUUCACUGGGGUUCUGGGAUCAGACUCAAGUGGCAAGAGCUCUCGUCCGCGGAGUCCUGCCUUUUCUCAGUUUCUCUUCAUAUGGGGCUCCAGUAGCUUCAGCCUCAAUAGCAGCUGAGGGUGACCUUGAACUACUGACUUCCCACUUCUCAGUGCUGAUAUAACUACUAUGUGUGGCUCAAACAUAGCUAUUUUCAAACAGAAAUUCAUCAGGAGGAGUGGCAUGGUAUUUUCACGAGCCUUUACAAAGUCCACACUAGUGGAUGCCAGCUGCUUUCUCGUGUCUGCUUCUGUGGCCAAUCUGUUAAAUACAUUCAUUUUGAAACAUUUGAAGAAAAUGUGACUUUAAUCAGAUACAUAGUUGGGAGGGGAUAAAGUUUUCACGGGAUUUUCAGAUAAUUAUGAACAUAAUGUUCUUUCUGUUUUUAUUUUUAUAUUAACCCCCAUCUUGACAAUUAGGGGUUUCUUAAAGGUUGGUUGCUGUAUGAAAUUAGAAACCACACACCAGUGAGCUUUUUGUUCUCGGUGACACUAAAAUGCAUGUCUCGUUUCUAUGUUGAAUGGAUCUUUCACUCAUUCAUCAUUUGAAAACAUGCAUUAAUCAUUUGGAAAAUAUGGAAUCUGUGAGUUAUCAAAAGUCACAUUCAUCAGAGAUCAGGGAAAUAUCAGGAAGCCAACUGUCUCCUACUGAUGGAUAAAGUUUUCAUAAGUCUUAACUUUUCCCCAUGCACAUAUAUAAUCUGUGGUCUUCUUCCUAGCCACAAGUUCAGUUCAUUUGUCUGCCCUAUCUGUGCCUCAAGCCCAAAUUGGAAUGUUCUAGCCUCCUGGUAAAUAGUUGUUAACAGGAAAAUAGUUUUGUCAGGAAGCUCAGCUCUGAGGUGUUCCCAGUUAAGCUAAAUCACUCGUGGUGAAUUUCUUAUUUGUCACCUGAGAACAGGAGUCCUCUUCCCAGUGUCCUCCAGGAGAUGGGCCACAACCAGCCAGAUGUCAGAUGCUGCUGGUUCCUGGGUAUGAUGCUAUGUGUACUCUCCUGUGUAUAUACCUGUGAAAUAGCCUAGCUGGGGAUGGAGCUCAUUGGUAGAGUAAUAGUCUAGUAUGUAUGAAGCCCUGGUUCCUCCCUAGUACCAUAUAAACUGAGAACACAUGCCUAUAAUCCCAGCACUUGAGGAGUAGAUAAGAGAGGAUUGAAAUUCAGGGUCAUCCUCAGUUACAAAGUGAGCUCAAGGGCAGCCUGAAAUCCUGCCUCAAAAACAAACCCCAAACCUGUUUAAUGAAUGGAUUAGGCCCCUGGUUCUAUUGAGGAGCAAAGAAGUGAUACAUAUCCCACGUGGGGCAGAGCUGGGCAGCCCAAGAUGCUGGGGUAUCAUGCAGACAGCAUGCAGUUGACCCCUUCUGAACCACUUCUUAAAUACAAAGCGUCUUUUGGGCUCUUAAAGACUUUUUUAGAGUGUGUGUGUGUGUGUGUGUGUGUUUUCAUUGCUGUGGUGGUGGUGGCACUGGCUGCAUUAGGGCCACACUCUCAGAAACUCUCCUUUGUGCUGUGGUGCUUUUGUCCAUAUGCACAAAGGUCAGUGGGAAAGCAGCUAACGUCUCAGUGUUAUUUGACGGUUUCAUUGUCCCUAGAGACCCUGAAAGGGUCAGGAACCCACAGGGAUCUGUGGACUUGUACUUUCAGAGCUGGACAUACUUUACGUCUCUGUGUCCCUUUUUAGUUCUGGUAUAUUUUGAGUCGCUGUGCUGUCCCUUAUAAAGUGAAGGGACAUACUUCCCUGUUCCUCAGUGCUGAACUAAUUCCUACAAACUUACUCCAUACCACUCUUUUCUGCUUGCUUCUUUCCUAGCAAGGAAAUUUUAACAGUUCUAUUGGCUCAGAUGGGUACAUGCUGUCCUCCCUGACCUGUGGGAUGGCCCCGGUGACUUCCAUCACUGAAGGACUCCAGCAGGUGGUCACCAUGGGCCUUUUCCGAACAAUUGCCUUGUUUUACCUUGGAAGUUUCGAUAAUAUAGUUCGCCGCUGCAUGGUGCAGAAAGCAAAACCUGAAGUUGUAGACAAAACUGCCUAAACCUUGCCCCUUGGAUGAAAGACUGAAUCCAGUGAUUUGAACAGUGUGCUGCUAAUGGAACACAAGUUUUGGCCUCCAGACUUUUGUAUCUUGUUUUUGAAUGUGUGAGAUUGGACCCCGUGCUCUUCAGAAAUCUGGCUGUAAGCAGAGGGACAUGAGGCCAUCUCUACAACUGUUAAACACUAUGCAAAUAUGGGCCAGGACACCUUUGAUUUUCUGGGCUGUAGGGGUGAUAGUGUGAGAACUAAUAACAGGAAAGCAGGGUAAAGAAUAGCAUUCCAGAACAGUAAAUUCAGCUUUUCGGUCAUUCUCCCAUCCUACCCAUAGAGAUCAAGAAAUGUCCUCUGUGGCGUUUCUGAGGUUUUGUUUUGUUUGUUUUUUGUUUUUGUUUUGUUUUGCUUUUUUUUUUUUUUUUUUUGAUUUUGGGUUUUAACUUUUUAUGAAAGAUGGUCCGGAUUUUUAUUAGUCUUUUUUUCUUUUUUGUAAUUUUUUUAGUGUAUGUUAUUCAAGGUGUGUCUUCCGAGUAGCCCAUGAGUCUGACUCUCAGCAUGCCUUGCUGCGCCUGGGACUCGCUUCUGCUAGUGAAGCUGGUUUCUCUCUCUUUGAUCCCAUAAAAUUCGAGGGGGAUGAGAGAGCAGCACAGAGGGCAAGGGGUGAGUCCUUUGUGACGGCAAGCGGGGCUUUCUUGUCUUCUUAGACUGAUGCUUACAACGUUUUCAUUUUUAUUCAAGGGGAAAGGCAGCCUCUUUACGUGUUUCGUGAAGAGAAAUAAAAUCUCCUAGCAGCUUAAGUUACAGUUUCUUCAGGAGCCAUGAUGACCUGAAGUUCACAUUCCAUUUCAGCUCAGUUCCUAGUGCUUAUCGCUCUUCCUAGUUUUGCUUAUGCUACUGUAAUAUUUUUGUAGAAGAAAGGAAGGAAGAAAAAAAAGAUGGAGAUCAGUGCAAAUGUUUUUGACUUUUUUAAUUAAUCCAUGAAUUAAUUAAAAUAAAAAAAUGAAAAGCAU